rnacentral:rRNA from 1 species
AUGGCUCAGAUUGAACGCUGGCGGCAGGCCUAACACAUGCAAGUCGAACGGUAACAGGAAGAGCUUGCUUCUUGCUGACGAGUGGCGGACGGGUGAGUAAUGUCUGGGAAACUGCCUGAUGGAGGGGGAUAACUACUGGAAACGGUAGCUAAUACCGCAUAACGUCGCAAGACCAAAGAGGGGGACCUUCGGGCCUCUUGCCAUCGGAUGUGCCCAGAUGGGAUUAGCUUGUUGGUGGGGUAACGGCUCACCAGGCGACGAUCCCUAGCUGGUCUGAGAGGAUGACCAGCCACACUGGAACUGAGACACGGUCCAGACUCCUACGGGAGGCAGCAGUGGGGAAUAUUGCACAAUGGGCGCAAGCCUGAUGCAGCCAUGCCGCGUGUAUGAAGAAGGCCUUCGGGUUGUAAAGUACUUUCAGCGGGGAGGAAGGGAGUAAAGUUAAUACCUUUGCUCAUUGACGUUACCCGCAGAAGAAGCACCGGCUAACUCCGUGCCAGCAGCCGCGGUAAUACGGAGGGUGCAAGCGUUAAUCGGAAUUACUGGGCGUAAAGCGCACGCAGGCGGUUUGUUAAGUCAGAUGUGAAAUCCCCGGGCUCAACCUGGGAACUGCAUCUGAUACUGGCAAGCUUGAGUCUCGUAGAGGGGGGUAGAAUUCCAGGUGUAGCGGUGAAAU